AGCUCACAGCCUGUCUCUUGAAGCCAUCCUCGUUUGGCUCGCUCCAAAUGCAGUUCAGCAAGACAAGAAUUGUACGUGUGUGAGGGUGUGUUUGCGCCUGUAUGUAAGGACCUGAAGGACAUAAUGCACUGAGACAGCUGAGACAAGAUUUUUGAAAGUCAAAGGUGCCACGCAAAUCCAAGGACAGUUGUUUUACCAAUGGAAGUCUGAUGCUGUUUGUGUUGUUAUCCUCUGUAAAUUUACUAAAAGUAGAUCUCACUGAGUGUUUUAGCCAGCGAGAGAAAAUUACUGUCAGGACUGAUACAUUGCCAAUAAAUGAAGAAGCAUUACUUGUUUAUAAUUGACCGGGAUCGUGGAUGAAAAUUAUGUGGUGUGUGAUAAGAAUCCUCUAAAUCAACAAUCUCUCUUUAUAAUCAAAAGAUAAAUCAUAAAGUUUUAUUAUGAGGUAAUUUCUUGGGCCAUUUGGAAGCACCUCGUUCUGCUGCGCUUCCAGCCUGCAAUCUGGACUGUGUGAUUUUACUUGUGGUAAAUGGCUUUGUAGACAGCCUUGCCUUGCAGCUGGAUAUAGAGAGACUGGAUUUGUUAGCCUUUUCUUCAGCAUUUCAUUGCCAGUCUAAACUUCAAAAGUACAAAACUUGAUUUCACUACUUCUGAACAGAACGGUUAUGAGACACCAACCUUUUGCCUCAGAUUCUGCAAUUAGUAACAUACAGGUAAAACAACAGCAUUGUGGCUAUAUACAGAAAUAUUAUAGUAAUAGUUCAUACUAUUGGCAGGUCAAAUCAUGCAAUAUGUAUUAUUUGUUCUAUGGGAGUAUUCUGAAACAAGGAUACAGUUGCCACCUGAUCCAUCUCAAUAAGUUCCCCCAAAACAUAUACCAUAACAAAUAGGUUAAUCUUUACGAUUUUCUAUUGAUUUUGGUUGCCACCUCUCUGGGACUAGGCACAGAGUUCCUCUGACCAUCAAGGUUGAUAGAACACAUAAAGCCAAUAAAAAUAACAAUCGGUUAAACCAACUGCAGCUUAUUUAUAAUGGCUGUUACAAGUCAGUUUAUGAGGACAAAAGCUGGACAGGCCUCCCUUGGCAAGGAGUUCUAGAGCCUGGGAGCAGCUGCUGAGAAGGCUCUUUCCCACGUUCCUGUUAAAUGUGCUUCUGAUGUAAGUAGGUCAGAAAGAAGGGCCUCUCCUGAAGGUUUCAAAAAACCUGGUCCCAAGACAUGUAGGGCUUUGUAACUAACUAAGAGCAACAAGGUCAUGUUGGCCAGGAGUUCCAGAAGCUGUAAUCCAAAACAUGGAGGGCACCAGGCUGGUGAAGGCUGCGUUAAUCAUUAAGCAAUCCCUAGUAUUCAUUCCUAUUUAAGAAUUGCAUUGCCGGAUCAAACCAAGGUCUACUUAGUAAAAAAUUAUUCACAAAAAUCCCAGCACCAGACAUUUCACCAGUUAACAGUUGUGCGAACAGAUCUUAAAAAGUCAAUAGCAGGCAUGCUGCCCCAGGUGAUCCAGAUUUGAGCCCUGGCAUGAAGGGUGGGAAGACUUAACACUUUGUACCCUGCUGCAAUCUGAUUGGUGCCCGUGCAUCUAUUAUUUGCAUUGGAAAGGAAACUCCCAUUCAUGCCAAAACAAGCUUACCUUCGAACAUCAUGUGUGUGGGGUGCAAUUCAUACCUGGAUUAGGCAAUGGGCAAAGGGUUAAAGCUCUUUAAACCUCCACCCUCCCCAGAUUCUGAUCCAGAUCAGCUGGUCCACAAAUGCCUGCUAUGUACAGUUAGCAAUUCCAUGAAUGGCAUCUUGUCUAGUUUGGUCCUUAAUAAUCUGUGCAAAAGUUCUGAAAGAUAAGCCUGCAUCAUUAACCUCAUGUACUGGAAGGGGGGGGAAGAGAGAGAGAACAGAAGAGCUGCCAAGAGAUAGCAGCUUUUCCAGGGCCACCCACUGAGUUCCUAUUUCUGGUGUGAUUUGAACUGGGUACACUCUACUAUGUCAGGCUUCUCUCUUGGUAGCCCUGCCCCUUAAAGACAGGUGUGUAUAGGCUUAAAGGGAAACAGUGACUAAAAGAUAUUUUGCACAUGCCCAAAGGCACUCUGUUUCACAUGCUUCUGAGUUGAGCCUUAGCACUAAAAGCUAGAGCGAGACCUAGUAAGCCAGCAGUAAUUAGAUCUGGCAGAGGCACUAAGUUAGCCGACAAGUAGGGUUGCCAUAUUGCCCGGUUAGCUGGGUUUUACUCAGAUUCUAAGCAUGCUACUCUGUGCCCAUGUAGCCUAUUAGGUGGCAUGGAUACCCAACUCUUUUUUUUAAGCAAGUCUCUAACCCCUGUAGAUCCAUUCUGUACAAGGCAAAAUGCAGGUGCAAUUUUCUGCUCAAUAUUUUCAGCCUACUCCCACCUUCCAUUGUUCUUAGCCAGUGAGGAUACCACAGCUGAACUGGGAAAAUCAAGAAUUUUUGCCUGUCUGCCUGCUGCAUAUGUAGAAUCUAGGCAGUUUAGAAAACUGCACAUGAUCAACAUGUGCAGCUCCGCCCCUUAUCCAGAGACUCUAGCUCACAUUCUGGUAGAGUCAGCAAGGAGAAACAGCCUUCAUCUCGAUUGCUUCUGUUUCUCAGGGUAUGUGUCUUAAGUGGUGGAUGCAAUGGAGUAUGGAAUAAUGGGGUUUGAAUUCACCAGAUGCUCCCUCCCCUGAACAAAUAAAAGAUAUAAAAGUAAAUAUCUCUGUAGAAAAGGCUGGGGUAUUAGCAUUUGCACUUUUCAGCCCUGCCCCCACUCUGGUAAAUGGUACUUACUCCCCAGUAAAGGUGUAUUGGAAUGCAGUCUCACUCACCCUGAUGCCCAGCAGAGCCUUUGUUCAGCAAUUCAGAAAAUGCUAAAAAGUAUUUAAUACAUAUCCUUCAAAAUGACUGGCAGGCAUAUCCCCAUUGAAGAUCAUCCUACUUUGUUUCCUCCCUGUGGAUAGAUGUACUCUCUCUCUCUCUCUCUCUCUCUCUGUGCAGUAGAUGGGGAUGGAAACUUUUCCCCCUUAAGACCAAUAGGAAUGGAACAAUUCACCCCAAACUCACCACCCUGGGGAAAGGGAUUUGCUCUCUAUUUGGUAUUUUUUCCUCUUGAUGCUACAUGUCUUCCUCCUGGCAGAGGCCCCCUAGCACAGCUUGCCAGGUCUCUAGAAUUCACUGCAUUUUUAAAAAAAGAGGUGCUAGCACAUAAGUUUCGAUCAAAUUCCAGCCUUUAUAACAGAAGACUGUGUUUCCCCUCUCCCUAAUGUGGUAUGUGAGAAUCAGUGUACUAAAGACACUUCUCACACACUCAGAAACUACUUUCUUUAGAUAAGAUUGACUGAUAAUAUUGAAAUCUCAAUUUCUAUCUGCGUUUCAGGUUGUAGGAAAUUUCCUAAUUGUUGCUACAGACAACCUCUUGGUCACCACGUUGCUUUUAAUUGAUGUUUUGGUGGCUUUUUGUUUUAUGCUUGAUUUUUAUACU